AGUGAACGCUGGCGGUAGGCCUAACACAUGCAAGUCGAACGGCAGCACAGUAAGAGCUUGCUCUUACGGGUGGCGAGUGGCGGACGGGUGAGGAAUACAUCGGAAUCUACUUUUUCGUGGGGGAUAACGUAGGGAAACUUACGCUAAUACCGCAUACGACCUACGGGUGAAAGCAGGGGAUCUUCGGACCUUGCGCGAUUGAAUGAGCCGAUGUCGGAUUAGCUAGUUGGCGGGGUAAAGGCCCACCAAGGCGACGAUCCGUAGCUGGUCUGAGAGGAUGACAGGACAGAUUGGGACUGAGAUACGGCCCAGACUAGUACGGGAGGAAGCAGGGGGGAGGAGUGCACAAUGGGUGGAAGCAUGAGGAAGCAAGGCCGUGUGCGGGAUGACGGCCUUCGGGUUGUAAACAGCUGUAGCUCAUGACGAAGCUUUGUGUGACGGUAGUGGGUAAAGGAGCACCGGCUAACUACGUG
rnacentral:rRNA from 1 species